GAAAUUGCUACAUCACUUCAGUUUACAUCCCAUCAUCACAUGGCCACAAUUAGCAGCAGCUAAGCUAAGAACUAUAGUAUUUAGCUGGGUAUCCAUGUGCCCAGAUAAAACAUCUUGUAUUACAGAGAAUCUGUAUUCAGGAGACUGCUAGCAGUCUCUGCCACAAAUAUGCCACUUUUUAUGUAAAAAAAAAAAAAAAAAAAAAGUAAAAAACCAUCAAGAGCAUCUAUUCACAUAUGUGCAUAAAGAAAAUCUGAAAG
rnacentral:lncRNA from 1 species